GACGAACGCUGGCGGCGUGCUUAACACAUGCAAGUCGAACGGAAAGGCCCUGCUUUUGUGGGGUGCUCGAGUGGCGAACGGGUGAGUAACACGUGAGUAACCUGCCCUUGACUUUGUGAUAACUUCAGGAAACUGGGGCUAAUACCGGAUAGGAGCUCCUGCUGCAUGGUGGGGGUUGGAAAGUUUCGGCGGUUGGGGAUGGACUCGCGGCUUAUCAGCUUGUUUGUGGGGUAGUGGCUUACCAGGGCUUUGACGGGUAGCCGGCCUGGGAGGGUGACCGGCCACAUUGGGACUGCGAUACGGCCCAGACUGCUACGGGAGGCAGCAGUGGGGAAUAUUGCACAAUGGGCGGAAGCCUGAUGCAGAAACGCCGCGUGCGGGAUGCCGGCCUUCGGGUUGUAAACCGCUUUCGCCUGUGCCGAAGCGUGAGUGACGGUAAUGGGUCAAGAGGCACCGGCUAACUACGUG
rnacentral:rRNA from 1 species